UCAAAUCUGCAGAAGGAAGUGGGAGAGAUGGAUCCAACGCUGGCCGAGCUGCAUAGGAGGGCAGUAGCUCUACGUGUAAACUCCAGAUGCUUGUACUUUGGUGACAUCACUGGGUUGGAGGACUGAUAUCAGAGAUUCCCUUCAUUUUAUUCCCUAUUUCAGCUGCUGUGGUCUUCCUGAACUCUGUCCUCUGUUUCUUCAAGUCAGUAAGAUUGAAGUUUACCAUCUGAAUUUUAGGCACCUUGUAGUGGUGGUGACUGUCCUUCCCUUAUCUUAAAAUCCCUAAAAGGGAAACUCACCCAGUGCCAUUCCUUCUUAUAAAUGUUGACUGCCCCCAUUUCAUUUUCUGGAUGCUUUUGGCCACUUCAAGAAGGUUUUGUUUUAUUUUUUUAUUGCGGUAAAAACUAACGAGAUAUAACCCCGCUUAACAAGACUUGAAGUGUACACUACAGUAUUGUUAACUAUAGCACAAUUUGUACAGCUGAUCUCGGGAACUUAUCCAUUUUCAAUAUAUAUGAAACUUUUAGAUUCUUAGAUGUCCUUUGGGGUUAAGAACCAUGGU